GAUGUUAGUUCAGGGCUAAUCUUUCUCAAAAAAAAAAACAAAAGAAGAAUGUGUGCAUCUCAGCUUUGAUAGGGUUAAUCUGGCAGAAGAGUGAACAAGAAGAUAUGGGAGGGAGAAGCAAUAAAUGUGAAAUGAGAAAUUCCACUGUAGAUAUUUAUAUCAAUUUAAGAUAGAACAUGGCUUUUUGACAGGAAAGUCAAUAUAAUCAUGCAAAUCACAGAGCAAAUUUUGCAAAGGCUUGUCUCCCUCAUGCAAAGGUGCCAAUGGACUACUGUAUACAUUCUCAUAAUUUGCUGAAAGUUAGUUUAUUCCAAAGAUAAAAGUCUGGAAGCCAGUAAGAAUUCAAACCAAAAGGAUUGGUAAAUAAAAUUUAAAAUGCAGUAAGCAGGAGGUCAUGCUAAAACACUUUGAAGUCACUUCUGGGUUAUUUUCCGAUAGUUCUCUUAAUGAAAAAUACCCAAAAGUAACACCAGGGGUAAAAGAAAGAAGGUGCCAGGGUGGUGAUGGUGAUGCUGUGUGUGCACGUACGUGUUCAGUUCUCAAAAAAAGGCACAGUCAACUCUCUCAGAACACCAGCCAUAUCAAGAACAGGAUCAUCACAAAAAUUAAAAGCUUCCUUCAAUGUCUGAUUUGGAAGGAGAAGAGACAAUAUUUGAGAUGUAAUGACCAAUGUCUGAUUCUCAAGAACGUAAGAAUUGAGUUAAAGGCUUGGUCCAAAAUCAUAAUGAAAAUGUGAUGUGAUUUUAAAAGGAAAUAGAUAGGCUGACAUCCAUUUCUGAUCACCAAAUUUAUUAAUAAUAACUAAAAUAAUCAUUUCAAUAAUUGAAAUGAUAAUCAGAUUUAUUAUUUUAUAUGGUGGGAUAGAUUAUUUAGGCCAGCUCUCCUAUGGAAAAUAAUUUAAAAUGCUAGAUAAAAAUAUGGAAAACUUUUUCCUAAAAGCACCUAAAAGCUGGAAAGAAUGUGAGAAAUUUCAGACUAAAAUCUAAGCGAAAGCAGAAACCCAGAGAGGUAAGAAGGGCACAAAGCUGUCUUUAACUUGAGGCAUAUGCUGAACCCAAUAAACUUGAGCUUCAUUUUUAAUAGCCUCAAAGAGUAAGAAGACAGAAAGGUCAGAGCCCGGGGCCACCCACUAAGGUGGGCACACAUUUUCAUUCAAGCUCUCAAAGAAUUCCCAUUAACAACUUUCCAAGGAAAAUGAGCAGCUGACCAAGCACACAAGGAGACAGGUACCAUGAAGAAGAGAACCAAGAGAAACAACAGAGCUGUAACAGACCUUCAGAUAAUUCAGAUACUGGAAUUUUCAGAUAUAGAUCAUAAAACAACUAUACUAAUAUGUUUAAAGAAAUAAAAGACAAGCUUAAAAAUGAAUGCAGGGGAUAGAAAAUCAUUUUGUCUUACAUGAUCUAGUAAACUUGGGAAAGAACCAAAUGGAAUGUCUAGAAACAAAAAAUACAAUAACUGAAAUUUAAAACUCAAUGGGUGAAUUUAACAGUAGAUUAGACAGGUAAGAAUUAGUAAAUCAGUUGGAACUUACCCAGAAUGUAGUACCAAGAGAUAAAGAAAUAGAAAAUAGGAAACAGGAUAGAUUGAAGGUGAUCUAACACAUGCCUAGUCAAAUUCUCAGAAGGGAAGGAAAGAGAGAAGGGGAAGAGACAAUAUUUGAGAUAUAAUGACCAAUAAUUUUCCAGAACAGAUUUAAAAAAUACCAAUGUAUUCAAAAGUCCAGUAAAUUCAAGCAGGAUAAAUAAAAAUAAAUCCACAUCUAGACACAUCACAGUAAAACUUCAGAAAAUGAAAGACAAAGCAAAUUUUAAAAGCAGCCAAAGGGAAAAUAAAAGAUUACUUUCAAAGAAAGCAACAGUUAGACUGACAGCUGACUUCUCAAAAGCAAUAAUAAAAGCCAAAUGUCAAUGGAAUGAUAUCUCCAAAGAGUGUUAUAAGAAAUAACUGCCAACCUGGAAUUCUAUCCCCAGUCAAAACAACUUUCAAGAUUGAGGGUGAAAUAAGGACAUUUUCAAACAAAACACAGAGCUUGUCACCAGCAUAUCUUCACUAAAGAAAGUCCUCAAGGAUAUAUUUUAAACAAAAGGAAAAGGAUUUCAGGUCUGAGAUGUAGGAAGGAAAUUAAAAGCAAAGAAUGUGGUGCACCUCUAAGUGCUGGGCUGAGACCUGGGCCUCCCGGUGCUUCUCCUCCAGCUCCUGGACACAAAAGAACAGACAGUCAGAUGAAUCCUCGCGGUUCUGCAGCUUCUCCAGCUCACGCUCGGCUCGCUCCUUCGCCUGGCGGAUGUUCUGCAGCAGCUCGGUGGCCUCAGUGCUGGCUUUGACAGCCUACCAGGAAAGAAGGAACAGGACAGACGGCCAAAUUUAUUCAUGUAAAAAGACGGUGGCAAUAUAGCCAUUUUUCAAAACAUAUAAACAUUCAUUUUAUUCUGUAUUUUGUCUAAGGUACACUUAUAUAUAUAUACAUAUUUUAACAUCACUGAAUUUGGAAUGCAUCCUAUGAUUAAAAUCGACAGUAUUUUUUCUAUCAUGGGGUACAUAAGAUAAUGGUGUAUCUGACAAUCAUUAGUAUCUUAGACCCAAGGCAACAUAGUAAAUGCAAACAAAAAGGUCUGGAAGGAUUCAUCUACCCAGGUAUUAAUGUAUUUACCUUGGAGCAUUCAUUUCCUCCUUAUUUAAUGAUCUCGUUUGCUAAUUUUCCUAUGGGGAAUUUGAAGUACUUUUAUAAGAAAACAAGAUAAAAACUAUAAACUUUUUUUCAAAUAAGUGCCUUUCAAAGGGCUCAACCCCUACAGUGUUCACGGUAGUUUACAAGGUCUAUGUUUAAAAACAAAAAGCUAAAUCUUUUGAAGUUAAUUUUUAUUUAGGUCUUAACUAUAAUGCAGCUCUUAUAGCAUCAUAGUAAACAUCUAAGUUUAAAAGACUAACAACUUCACACUUACUUGCUUUAAAAUAUAAUUUUAAAAAGUGGAAACUGCAAGAACACUCCAACUUCAAGACCAGCACUAACAUGGAGCCGCUAGCCACACGUGGCCCUUUAGUGCUUGAAACGUGGUUGAUGUGACUGGGAAAUUCAUUUCUAAUUUUAUUUAAGUUUAAUUCAUUUAAAACCUGAAGCAAUGUAAAUGUCAUAUUGAUACACGCUGUAAUGAUAUUUUGGAUAUCUUGGAUUAAAUAUAUCAUUCAAAUAAUUUCACCUGUUUCUUUCUGCUUAUCUUAAGGAGACUACUAGAAAAUUUAAAAUUAUAUCUGUGGCUGACAUGUGUGGCUUGCAUCACACUCUAUUGGAGAGCACGGUCCUAAAUGGAAACAUGAAUCCUCACACAAAAUUCAAGCUGAAAGAGGGCAGUAGAGGCUUUCAUUAGUGAGUGGAAGAAUUAGGUAAGAAGGGGACAGAUGAAUGGGUAAAGAAAAUGUGGUAUAUCCAUACAAUGGAAUAUUAUGCAGCUUUAAAAAAGAAGGAAAUCAUUUCACAUGCUGCGACACAGAUGAACCUCAAGGACAUUAUGCUAAGUGAAAUAAACCAGUCACAAAAGGACAAAUACUAUACGAUUCUACUCAUAUGAAGUAGAGUCACGCAUUGCUUAACAUCAGGAAUACGUCCUGAGAAAUGCAUCAUUAGGUGAUUUUGUCGUUGUACAAACAUCAUAGAGGGUACUUACACAAAUCUAG